rnacentral:lncRNA from 1 species
GGGCCCUCCAGAACCACUCCUGGGGCGAGAUUGGGAGGAACUGGCUGUGGGGGGUGAAAACCUUCUGAAUGAAGCUGGCAGCCUCUGAGCUUGGAUCUGGGCUUGCCUUGGGGACUGAGAAGCCCUGCACAGUGGAUCUGUGUUGCUCUAAAGAUCCUGUGAGGUUUCCCUGGCAGCAUGGUGCCUGUAAGACCUCAAUGCACAGCCCUGAUUUAAUUUAGGGAGACUUGAUUUGCUCGAAGCCUUUUCUAGACAGCUUGCUAAACUGGACAGGCGGAGGCAGGCCACAUCUGUGGGGGCUUCAGGUUCUUAGAAGGAGCCCUGAGGGCUGUGCCUGUGUUCUUCGUUGAGUGUGUUUCUCCCCAGGGUGUGGAGGGCAGUGGAGAUGGUCUGCUUUCCCUCAUCAGCUGAUGGAGCACCCCAGGUGUGCCUCCCGGCAGCAGGCAUCACCCCCACUACCCAGCCAGAGGACACAGCAGAUCGACUUGGAAAAAGCCUGGAAGGAUCAGGCCUCCCUGACACCCCUGGCGUGUCGCACGUGUCCUCCUUCCCAGUCCCAGGAUCGCCCUGUUUCAAAAUUGCGCUCUGCAUUGAGUUCUCCAUGUGGGUCCCUGUGCGGCGUCAAGUGCUACGGCUCACAAAAUAAAUAAGACAUCAAAGGAAAAUGGAACAUAAAAUGGAGGAGCAGCGAUGGAGGAAGAGGACGGGGAUUUUGAGCUAAUCAGAAAAUACAAUCAGGAAGAUUAUAUUUCGAUGUGUUUACUUUCCAAAGAGAAUAAAU